GUGGCGAAUUUUGGACAAUGGGCGAAAGCCUGAUCCAGCCAUGCCGCGUGCAGGAUGAAGGCCUUCGGGUUGUAAACUGCUUUUGUACGGAACGAAAAGACUCCUUCUAAUAAAGGGGGUCCAUGACGGUACCGUAAGAAUAAGCACCGGCUAACUACGUGCCAGCAGCCGCGGUAAUACGUAGGGUGCAAGCGUUAAUCGGAAUUACUGGGCGUAAAGCGUGCGCAGGCGGUUAUAUAAGACAGAUGUGAAAUCCCCGGGCUCAACCUGGGAACUGCAUUUGUGACUGUAUAGCUAGAGUACGGUAGAGGGGGAUGGAAUUCCGCGUGUAGCAGUGAAAUGCGUAGAUAUGCGGAGGAACACCGAUGGCGAAGGCAAUCCCCUGGACCUGUACUGACGCUCAUGCACGAAAGCGUGGGGAGCAAACAGGAUUAGAAACCCGGGUAGUCC
rnacentral:rRNA from 1 species